rnacentral:rRNA from 1 species
GACGAACGCUGGCGGCGUGCCUAAUACAUGCAAGUAGAACGCUGAAGGAGGAGCUUGCUCUUCUGGAUGAGUUGCGAACGGGUGAGUAACGCGUAGGUAGCCUGCCUGGUAGCGGGGGAUAACUAUUGGAAACGAUAGCUAAUACCGCAUAACAGUAGAUGUUGCAUGACAUUUACUUAAAAGGUGCAAUUGCAUCACUACCAGAUGGACCUGCGUUGUAUUAGCUAGUUGGUGGGGUAACGGCUCACCAAGGCGACGAUACAUAGCCGACCUGAGAGGGUGAUCGGCCACACUGGGAUUGAGACACGGCCCAGACUCCUACGGGAGGCAGCAGUAGGGAAUCUUCGGCAAUGGACGGAAGUCUGACCGAGCAACGCCGCGUGAGUGAAGAAGGUUUUCGGAUCGUAAAGCUCUGUUGUAAGAGAAGAACGAGUGUGAGAGUGGAAAGUUCACACUGUGACGGUAGCUUACCAGAAAGAGACGGCUAACUACGUG